UACCUGGUUGAUCCUGCCAGUAAUCAUAU
rnacentral:rRNA from 2 species